rnacentral:tRNA from 1 species
GAGGAUAUAGCUCAGUGGUAGAGUGUGUACUCAGUGUGCACAAGGUUCUGGGUUCAAUCCCCAGUGCCCCCA